rnacentral:rRNA from 1 species
AACGCUGGUCCUCCAAUGCCGCGUGGGUGAAGAAGGCCUUCGGGUUUGUAAGCUCUUUUUGCUUGUAGGAAGGGGUGUG